CGAGUUAUAACCCAACUUCAAGCAGAGAUUGAGGCACGCAAGCAGACAGUUGAGAAUGCAAAGUCAGAAAUAUCAUAUCUGUCGACAAUGAGAUGAGAGAAAGUUAAGGAACUGAAGAAUUAAGUUGAGCAGGUCCUCAGUAUGAAGAGAGAGAAUCCAAGCAUGGAAAAGAAGAGAAAUCAAGCUCGCGAAUGAUUGACAAAAUCAAUGUGGAGUGGAAUGAAUUGUAUGCCGAUAUUAAAGGCCGAUUGGCCUCUAAAUAGGCUGGCACUUUUCACUUUCUUUUAUUUGAAUCUUCACGUGUCGAAAACUUUUCCAUUCUGGCAAAAAACACAGGUUUGGAAUUUCAUUUGUAGUUAUUUAUCAUUGCGGAAAGCGUGAAACAAGUUCUAUUGAAACAAAGAGAACGCUCACCUUGCAAACUCAGCAUGUCACUCGGCUUGGUCUGCAAUCUCCGAAGGCUCCGUGUAACUAGUCUUGCCAGAGGAAAAAUUGCUGGUCUCGGGAGGCAGCAGGCCAUGCAGAGUCCUCUAUGCAGCACCGUGCUUCUUGCUUUUCUUUGCCAUAGUCCUCUUUGGUAUAGAAGGCGGUCUUUGCGAUGAUAUCGGUGAAAUUAGCGUAACGUAGAUAUUCCAUACGUGCUCUCUCCACUGCGAAUUUCAGCAAAAUCCAGAUGUACCCAUGCACGCAAAGACGUGGUUUUGUCUAUGAUGCCUUGUUCUCCGGGGGAAACCUUAGCCACCAUCCAAGUAUAUCAAGAGAAAUUCAUAACCCUGUCGAUAGAGUUGGCAACAGGGUAUCCAAGAUAUGAACAAUUUUAGGCUCCAAAGCACCAUAAUUUAAGAUACCGGAAAGACCGCAUGGCAGGAAUUUUGACAUAGCAUCUAAGUUAGGACCUUGUUUUAAGUAGGUGGUAUCCCUUUAGUACGCUUAGCACUACGUAAUUUAUAUCAUGGGUUAUAUUCAUGUUGGUGUGAAGAUCAAUCCAAGUGAUUACUCGAGUUGCAAAAUUCUAGGUCUUGUGGGAUUCAAAAUUGAAAAAUUUUGGGGGAUAAGUACACUAAUGGUGCCAUAAGUUGUGUACGGUGCUCACUUUGGUGCCAAAAGUUUCCGUCGGAUCACUUAAGUGUCAAAUCAGAGGAAAAACGCUCACUUUGGUGCCACCGGCGAAAGAUUCCGGCCAAAAUGAUUUUUAAAAAAAAAAAAUCGAUAGGCCUUUAAAUGACGUCGUUUUCGGUCCUCCUUAAGAAAACGACGUCGUUUUGCCAUCCUACAUGGAUGGCUUCAUGGAAACGACGCCGUUUAGCUCACAUGGGGAAAAAUUAGGGUUUCCGUCGCUCGGCCACUGUCGUUCACCCGCCGUCACUCGGCCACCAUCGCUGCUCGGCCACCGUCGCUCAUCCACCAUUGUAGUUACUCGACCAAGUGAGCGAGGAGAGACUAAGAUUGUUGCAGGAAAAAUCGAAGGCGAGGGCGGAGGAGGAGGAGGAAGAAGAUGGGUCGAAGGGGCUGCUGGUGCAUUGCUGCUGCUGGUGCGUUGUUGGUGUGCUACCGGUGCUAUUGCUAGUGCCGUGCUGGUGCCGUUGCUAGUGUGGGUCUUCGAGGAAGAAGAAGACACGAAGACGAGCCUUCCCUCUCUCUCAAUUUGGGGAUUAGGGUUUCAAAGUUGGGGGAAAGAUGCCAAACGGCGUCGUUUUGGUGUUUGGAUGCUGACUCAACUCUCCGACGAGCCAUGUCGAUUUCAAAAAUUAAUUAAAAAAAAAAGGCCACGUCGGAUUUCCGGCCAAUUUCGUCGGCGUUGGCACCAAAGUGAGUGUUUUUCAAAUUUUUUGGCACUUAAGUGAUCCGACGGAAACUUUUGGCACCAAAGUGAGCGCCGUACACAACUUAUGGUACCAUUAGUGUACUUAUCCCAAAUUUUGGCAUUUGUAGAACUUUAAGGUUGCUGAUAUUCUUUUAUCUUGUUAAAAAUUAAACUAAUCUUCCCGUGUAGGCUAUUGAGUAUUGAUAAUUAACUUUGUAAUUUAACAGUGACUAAAAGCAGUAAGCAUGUGAUGGGUCAUUUCUUACCUUUGGACCUCGAGCUCCAUCCAAUGUAUCAUUUGACCACAUCCUCCGACAAGAAUCUACUUUUAUUUUCCACAAAAAUAAACUAAUUAGAGUAUGAUAAUUAAAGGAGAAUCAUACUUGAAUAUUUGGCUUUCAAUAUUUUCUUUUGGACACAUUUGAAUUUUUAUUUUUGGUCAAUUUGUACUUGAAUUCACCUCCUCAUUUUUUGCCAUUUCUCCCCCUUUUUGGUUAAUUUUUUUCUCAAUUCCUUUCCUCAAUUUUCUUCACUUUAGCUUUUUUUUUUAAUCACACGACGAUUAUAUAUUCAGAAUAGUUAACUUUCAAGAGAUAUAUUUCUACGUCACAUAUAGCAUUUGGUCAAAGUUUGAAAUAAUUAUUAAAUAAAAAAUAUUUUCAUUAUCAAUAAUAAUUUAUAUUUGAAUAUUUUUUGUUUAUAUAUUUUAUAAAUGUUACAUUCUCAAAAUGGUUUAUUUUUUCACAAAAUAAAUUAUGCUUUGUCAAAAUUUAUAAUUAACACUUAACAAAUAUUGAGUCGGAGAGGAGUAAAACCGCGAUAGAUAUGUGGAAAUAACAAAUGAUUUCACAUACCCAACAACCGUUGUUACUUUGCUUUUAUCUGUUGGUCAUUGGAUCUAGGGUUAGGCACGUCGGAUCGCUCAAAUCAGGAACCACUCAGACCGAACCGGAUCUGGUCAAGGCCCAGGAACCAGUUGACUAUAGAAAUUCCGCACAGACGGAGCACCUGCUUCCCCAUUAAUCAACUAGGGCGGAGCAUGGCAUUGUCAAGAGUCUGUCCGAGGGAAUUUUCCGAGCAUUCGUGAGUCUCCUUUGCAACUGCAGAUGGCGAAAGAAGGUCCUUACGGUGGUUCGAGCUCUGCAUCAUCAGCUUCGGUGACGGGAAACAACUUUGACGUGUUCUUGAGUGUUGGAGAAAACUUCAUUGAGUGUUUUGAAGCUGACAAAACGUUUCCAUCAGUCUAGUCUGAAGACUUGCAGACUCUUCCAUCAAAGUCUGAAGACCUCCGAACUACUAGACUCAAGACUCAAAGUCUAUCCUCAUUGACAGUUUCUAGACUGUCGAAGAAGACUUAUCCAUAACUGGAUGUUUCGUCAAGGAUUUGACUUUAUCGACUGGAGUAGAUCUUAUGGUUGGAUAUAGUAUGACAGAAUCCUUUAUUUUGAUCAAGACUGAUUUAGGAAUCGUGGAUUCGUUGAUUGGUGAAAUAUACUUGGAAGGUUCUACUUAUGGAAACCAAGAUCCUUAUUGUAUGGGCAAACAAGAUUAAUGGGCUAUCGUCAUGUUCUUUAAAUAGCUCGAAGAUCUUCCUAAUUGAUUCUGUCAAACGGGUAGAUUGGAAGAAUUCCUUUGGUAAGUGCCAACGGGUAUGAUGGCAUAAAGGAGUAUAUAAGGAAAACGUUCCAAUUGUUCAAGUGUGUGUACGAUAGAAGAAUUCCAAAGUCUGAAGCUCCUUGUUCUUAGUCAAUUAAACUGUUGAGCGAAAUCUUGUACGCAAAAGAGAGUCUAUAUCAUUGAGAGACCUUGAGGAAGUGUAGUAGAGUCUCUACACUGUGGAAUCAAGGAAGAGCCUAACUAUAACAACUCUUUUGUUCAUAGUGAAAUCCAGCCAGUGGGCUGUCAGUGCAGAAGAGUGGACGUAGGCUUGGAUUAAGCCGAACCACUAUAAUCUCUAUGUUCAUAUUCUCUUCUCUACACUCUUUUACUUUGAUCGUAAUUCGUUUUGAGAAUUUCCUUUUCAUAAUCUAUUGUUGAUUAGCACUGCACAUAUCUCGCAAAAUUGUUUAUGCACUUAUUUACCCCCUCUAGGUGCUCAUACUAGCUCUCACAAUUGGUAUCAGAGCCCGUGUACUCACUUGAAUUGAAGUGUUUUACUUCAGAGUUAAAGAUCCAUGGCUAAUAUGUUGUCUCCAAAACUAGUUGAAGAGCAAAGCAAUACCAGACUGCCUUACUUUGAUGGAAAUGAUUACAACAUAUGAAAAAAAACAAGAUGAAGGCAUUCCUAAGAUCAAAGGAUCCUCUGGAAUGGGACGUGGUAGACAGAUGAAUCAUUCCUAAAACUGCACCUGUCUCAGAAAGAGGAAAAGAAACUGUUGAAUCUAGAGAAAUGACUCAAGAAGAGAUAACCAAGAGACAAGCUCUUGAUGCAAAAGUGAUUUAUUCUUUAUAUUGUGCAUUAUCACCUACUGAAUAUAACAAAAUAUCUUCUUGUGUUACAGCUAAAGAAGUCUGGGAUAGAUUACACAUCACGUAUGAAGGAACUGACCGAGUGAAAGAAACCAGAAUCAAUAUUAUGCUCCGACAAUACGAAGCAUUCAAAAUGAAAACAGGAGAAUCUAUCACUGACAUGUUUAGUCGUUUUACAAAGAUAGUGAAUGGUCUUGAAAGUCAAGGUCAACCAAUUUCUGAUCCCAUGAAAGUAAACAAGUUACUACGUGGACUCUCCAAGGAUUGGAAUUACAUAAAGACCUCAAUAAGGGAGGCACAAAGAAUUAUGCCACUCUCUGUUGAUGAGUUGGUUGGGACUCUUCAGUCUUAUGAAGUGGAGCGAAUCAACGAAGAUGAAGAUCCUAAAGGUAAGAAAUCCAUUGCAUUAAAAUCUAAUGAUAAUUCUGAUGUCACAGAUUCUGAAGACGAUAUGGAUGAUGAAGAGCUUGCUCUCAUAAUAAGAAGAUUUAGAAAGUUAAACAGAAAUGGAAGAAGAUUCAAUCCAAAGAAACAGAGCUUUCAAAAGUAACAGAGUAAGUCUGUUGAGGAUGAUGAAUCCAAUAGAGAUAUAGUCUGUUUUGAAUGUAAGAAAAAAUGACACAUCAGACCCAACUGUCCCCUUCUAAGGAAAAAUAAAGGAAAAACUGAGAAGUAUCAAAAGGCACUUAAAGCAGAAACUUGGAGUGAUACAGAAUGUGAAGAAAGUGAUGAUAAUCAUGCCAACAUUUGUCUCAUGGCACAAUCAGACUCAGACUCCAAAACAGACUCAGAUUCAGACAGUGAAAUCGAAGUAAGUAACUUGAAAAUUCCUACUAAAGUCUCUAGAUACAUUGAUGAACUGUGUCUUAGUCUCAAGACUUCUCUUAAAAGAAUUUCCAAACUCAAAAGAGAAAACUCUGCAUUAAAACAACAGGAAAAUGUUUUGAAAGAAAAGGUCAAAAGUUUAGAAAAAAAGUGUUUCUACCUUGAAGACAAUCUUUCAAAAGAAAAUGCAUUCUUGAAAAAUGACAUCUCAAAUAUUUCUAAAAGAUUUUCUAUAGGAUCUGAAAAACUUGAGAAAAUUCUUUCAGCAUAAAGACCUUACUUCAAUAAAUCAGGUUUAGGAAUGACUGCUAAAACCAUUCCUCUAAUUGAUUUUCCUAAAGUAAAAGAAAGAAUUAAGCAAAGACCUACGAGAAAUGCUUACAAAAAUCAUUUCAAAAAAGUGUUUGUAAAACCAGUAGGUCACAGUGCUCUUAAAUGUUCUAAGUGCAAUAGUUCAGAUCAUUUUGAAAAAGAAUGUUCUAUGGUUUGGAAACCUGUUAAGAAGGUAUGGGCAAAGACAUUAUAUCAUACUAACACCAAUUGACCCAAGAAAAUAUGGGUACCAAAGAAAGCUUGAGUCUCUUUUCUAAAUGCAGGUCACUAUUAAGAGAAAGAUUAAAUGGUACCUAGAUAGUGGAUGCUCAAGACAUAUAACAAGAAAUUCAAAUUGCUUCAUAAAACUUGUUCAAGUUAAUGGUGGAAAAGUUUCAUUUGGAGGAAACAACAAAGGAAGAAUUGUGGGAUUUGGAACUGUAAAGAUUGGAAGUCUCACAAUCAGUAAUGUUUCUUUAGUGGAAGGACUCAACUACAAUUUGCUUAGUAUCAGUCAGCUGUGCGACAUCGGCUUCAAAAUCAACUUUCAAGAGGGAAUAUGUUCAGGAACCAGAAAAGAUUCAUCUCAGUCUUUCACGGGUCAAAGACAUGGAAAUAUCUACCUCUUGGAUGUCAAACCAGAUGAAGCCCAAUGUCUAAUCUCAAUUCAAGAAGAAGCAAAUUUGUGGCACAGAAAACUUGGGCACAUCAACAUGAAGCACAUAGUUAAAAUUUCAGCAAAGAAGCUUGUUCGUGGUCUACCCAAUCUGUCAUUUCAAAAGACUGAUCUAUGUACACCAUUCGUGUUGGGAAAACAUGUAAGAAACUCAUUCAAACCAAUAAAUCAAGUUGCCACUAAUCGUGUACCGCAACUUCUGCAUAUGGAUCUCUUUGGACCAACCAGAACUCAAAGCAUUGAAGGUAAGAAAUAUUGCCUAGUAAUUGUGGAUGACUACUCACGAUUCACUUGGGUAUAUUUCCUGGUAAGUAAGUCUAAAACAUUUUCUUACUUCAAAAAGUUUGCUAAAAAUGUUCAAAAUGAAAAAGGGUAUGUUAUUUCAAGUAUACGAACUGACCAUGGAGGCGAAUUUGAAAAUCAAGACUUUACAAGAUUUUGUGAUGAAUCUGGUUUUCAGCAUGUGUUCUCUUCUCCAUACACUCCAGAGAAAAAUGGAGUCGUGGGAAGAAAAAAUAGAUCGCUUCAAGAGAUGGCUAGAACUCUUUUAAUUGAAAGAAACAUCUCUUUACGUUUUUGGGCUGAAGCAGUUUCUACAGCAUGUUAUAUCAUUAAUAGAGUUUUUCUAAGGCCUAUACUGGAAAAAACUCCCUACGAGUUAUUCAAAGGUAAGAAGCCCAUUGUUUCAUAUUUUCACGUGUUUGGAUGUAAAUGUUUUAUUUUGAAAAAUGCAAAUGAUCGAGUUGGGAAGUUUGAAGAAAAAUCAGAUGAAGGGAUCUUCUUUGGAUAUUCGACCACAAGCAAAGCCUACAGAGUAUACAACAAAAAGACUCAAUCUGUGGAGGAAUCAAUGAAUGUCAAAUUUCAAGACUCUAUGCAAAAUGAAUCGAUACAGACUCAACUUGAAGAAACUGAACCUGCUUUAGACUCUACAAAGUCUAAAUCUCCAGAAGCAGCUCAGACUUCAGAAGACCAGCAACAAAUAAUUGUCGAAGAUUCAAAUGAAGAAAAAGAUCAACAGUUUGACAAAUCAACCAGCAACUGGAAGCAUAAGUCCCGUCAUCCCACAGAUCUCAUUAUCGGCGAUAUUAAUGAAGGAAUUCACACAAGAUCCAAAAGGCGCGAAGAGUCUAGUGCUGUGGCUCUUAUUUCUGAAAUAGAACCCAAAAGUAUAGAAGAAGCUCUAAUUGAUGAAAGCUGGAUUGAAGCCAUGCAAGAAGAACUCAGGCAAUUCAAUAUCAAUGAUGUUUGGGAAUUAACUCAUAAACCGAAAGGUAAAUCCAUCAUUGGAGCUAAAUAGGUUUUCAGAAACAAGAUGAACGGGAAAGGAAAGGUUGUAAGAAACAAAGCAAGACUCGUGGCCAAGGGAUAUACGCAAGAAGAAGGGAUAGACUAUGAUGAGACUUAUGCACCAGUAGUAAGGUUAGAAGCAAUUAGAUUAUUACUUGCUUUUGCUUGUCAUAAAAAUUUCAGGUUAUUCCAAAUGGACGUCAAAAGUGCUUUCCUAAAUGGAUUUAUCCAAGAGGAAGUCUAUGUGGAACAACCACCCGGUUUUGAAAACCCAAGGAAACCAGACUCUAUUUUCAAACUGAAAAAGCUCUAUAUGGUCUAAAGCAAGCACCUCGAGCUUGGUAUGAUAGACUAAGUAAGUUUUUAAUCCAAAAUGGCUUUGUCAAAGGUAAUGUAGAUACUACAUUGUUUAUCAAAAGAGAAAGCAAAAGUUUUCUACUUGUUCAAAUUUAUGUUGAUAUUAUUUUUGGAUCUUCUAAUGAAAGUCUGUGCAAGAAAUUCUCUAAGUCUAUGCAGGAUGAAUAUGAAAUGAGCAUGAUGGGUGAACUAACCUUCUUUCUCGGGCUCCAAGUAAAACAACUAAAGGAAGGAACCUUUAUUUAUCAAGAAAAGUAUGUUAAAGAUCUUGUCAAAAAGUUUGGACUGAAAAAUUGCAAAAAGACUUAUGUACCAAUGUCAAAUUCCUUGAAGUUGGACAAAGAUGAAGGAGGAAAGAAAGUCGACCAAAAGUUAUGCAGGAGCAUCAUUGGUUCACUUCUUUACCUUACUGCUUCUAGACUUGAUAUUUUGUUUAGUGUUUGCAUUUGUGCCAGGUUUCAAUCAGACCCGAGAGAAUCUCAUUUAAGUGCUGCAAAACGUAUUAUCAAAUACAUUGCCUCAUCUUCAACUUUGGGUCUCUGGUAUCCUAAAGGAGACUUUACUCUUCUUGGAUACUCAGACGCAGACCUAGCCGGAUGUAGAGUUGAUAGAAAGAGCACCUCGAGCACCUGUCAACUACUUGGAAGCAGGACUAUGUCUUGGUUUUUAAGGAAGCAAAGUACAGUAGCUCUUUCUACAGCAGAAGCAGAAUAUGUAACUCUUGGAAGUUGUUAUUCACAAAUUAUGUGGAUAAAACAUUAGUUAAGAGACUUUGGAAUUGAAGAUUCAUGCACUGAAAUCAAAUGUGACAACACCAGCGCAAUCAAUCUCACCAAGAAUCCGAUUCUUCACUCAAGAGCAAAAUAUAUAGAGAUUCGACAUCACUUCAUUAGAGAUCAUGCUCAAAAUGGAGAAAUUUUGAUUCAGUUUAUUGACUCAAAGAAUCAACAGGCGAAUAUAUUUACAAAGCCUUUGGAGAAAAAUCAAUUUGAAGCUAUUCGUUCUAGACUCAAUAUCUUAAAGUUUGAGAAAGUUCAGACCUAGGACUGAAAGUCUAAAGAAUCUUAGACUCAGAUGAUCAAGAUUUUUUACUGUAAGAUAUUUUAUUUUCUCUUAGAUCAAAUCUCGAAAAGGUACGAUCAUCUAUCCGUAAUUGAUUGUUGCUAUUUUUAAUUUCUGUGAUUAUUGUAAUCUUUCCUUUUUGUAAAAGAAAUUUUUAAAAUGACAGUUAUCUAAUUUUUGAAAAGGUAGUUAUUUUUUUAAAAGGUAUCUUUAUAUUUCCUUUUACGACGUUCCGUAUGCAUCUCUUCGACUGUCUUAUAUACUGUCGGUUCUUCUUCAUUUUACUCUCAAAAACCCUAAGAGAGCACAUAUCUUCCAUUUAUGUCUUCUUCUCUUGUUUAAUCUUCGACAAGUUGUCAUCUUUCUUGGGAAAACAAGCUUGGAAUCCCUCCAAAUACUGUGAAAAAUGUCUUCUCAUAGAAAGUUUUUUAGGAUCGCGAACAGGGGACCACAGCAGAUGUGUGAGGGGCCUACGCACUUUGAUCUCAUCGAGGAAGAGGAAUCUCCUAAUCAGCAACAGAGCCCACAACAUUCUCAGCAACGUCCAUCUCCUCCGUUUAGACCUCAGAAUGUUGCACAUCAAGAAGAGGAAGAAAUCGUCGAAGACGCAGAACCCGUAAGAACUCUUAAGCCUGGCUUUAUUUAUAAGCUUUACCGUGCUUUGAAGAGGGGUGGUACUCCUUUGAACUACAUUGACGAAUUUUUGAAAGAAAAAGGGUAUCGAAAUGAAACUUAUUUUCUACGCACGAUGGAACGUUUGGGAAUUGCCCCUGCUAGAUCAGCGGAAGAGGCAUUCGCAAAUAUCGCAACUGAUCCACGUGUUGGAGGACUAAGUCAGCUAGAUGGGAAUGACGAUGAUAGGAUGUACAGUCAGUCUAAAUCGAGAAUGGGUGUUGCGGCAAAAAUCCGAAGCAAAAUGACAGACUUGUUUAGAUCGGAUGACCACAAGCAACUGUACUCUAAGUUGCUGAAGCAUGGGGUGAUAAAUCCUAGAAGUGUGGAUUUUGAUUUUCUUGACUCUGUGAAUGUCAAUCUGCGGGAGAAAUUCAGUCUUCUUCAACUCGAACAGUUUUGUUAUGAAUCACAGAAGCCUAUGCUGAACUUACUGCUUAUUUCUAUUCGAAUCUUAGUUUCUUGGAUGCGAAUUGAUUCUCUUUUAGUGUUCGAGAUCAGGACCAUGUGGUUGACAUGAAUACAUUGGCUGAUGUGAUUGGAGUUGAAAGAGGGAGAUAUCAACCUAUCAGUGUGUCUAUUGCUCGUGCAAUGUUGUAACUUGUUAAGGAUCGAAGAACGGAAGAAAAGAUUUCCUAUUCAAGGAUGAAUGCAACCAACAUUCUGCUUCAUAAGAUUGUGAUUAAUUGCCUCAGACCAAAAUCUACUUCAAAGACUGAUGUUUCAAACUCGGAGGCAAAGUUGAUGUAUGCCAUUAAUGCUGGAAAAAAAAUUCUCUCUUCCACACUCUAUUAUGUUCCAUAUGUACAGGGCAGUGGUGAAGGACAAGGGACAACUUCCUUAUCCAGCUCUUAUGACCAAGUUAUUCAGACACUUGAAUAUUCAGCCUCCCUGAAUUCUUUGUGGUCGAGCAUGUGAUCAAAUGGUGGUGGGACUGAAAAUGGUCUCUAAAAUGCAUCUAAAGGAACUCAACAAGGAGUUGGAGAAGUUCAAGGAGAAAACUCCUGUCAAAUCUCAUCAAAUAUCUUCGGCUGCAAAAAGGAAAGGGAAGGAGCCCAUGGUUGCUCCAUCCAAGAAAAGAAGAGCUCUCAUCGUUGAGGAUGAAGAGGAUGAGGAUGACAUUACCAUUUCUGCAAUGGUUUUGAAGAACCUGAGUCGUUCUACACUAGAAUCAAUGGAGAGAUAGGAAAAAGGUACGGCUGAAACAGAAUAGAGGACUGGAGAAAGUGAAGAUUUCGAGAAAGAAACAGAGGAGAGAGAUGCAGAGGAGGAAAGAAUUGAAGAAGAAGAAGAAGAAGAAGAGAGAGUAGAAAAAGAACAUGAAGAACACUCUUCUCCACCUAAAGGCAUGGAAACGGGGGAGAUCCUGAGAAAAGAGGAACAUCCUCAAUCCCUGCCACCAGUGAAGGAGUAAGUCGCUCUCCAGCAGAUCCAGAGGACAUCUAUGCCUCACAAUUUCCUGAGGAGGGACACGAUGUUUCAUCGCCCAAUCUGCGUGACAAUGCUGAUUUGCCAUCAUCUGCUUAUACACCGUCUGAUCGUGCAGAAGCAAGUACUUAGACUGAUAAUUCAGCAGACUUUCGCAGAAUUCUUGAUGUUCUUUUAGAGAUGAAAGGUCAAAUCUAUGCUCUGGGAUGCGAUCUUCAGAAUAUGCAGAAUGCAGGACAAGCUUCCUCAGUUUCUUUGAAUGAUCAACUCCAAGACCUUGCUCUUCAAGUUCAGACAAAUGCUAAGGGUGAAGAAGUAGCGCAACUAAAGGAGGACUUAAAAAGGCUGGAAGGCAUUGUUCAAUCAAUGGGAGAUUUCCAACUUGUCCGUGUUCCCAAGCCAUCUUAAUUUCAUUUUCUUUUCAUCUCUACAUUUUUAAUGAUGACAAAAAGGGGGAGAAAUGUGCAAAUUUGACUGUUUGGAUUUAAAACCUUUUUUGAUUGACUUGAUGUUUGUGUUUGGCUGUUUGGAUUUGGACUAGAUUUGGAAUUGACUGUUUGAACAUAUGUUUAUCUUAAGUAUUAUUGAUAUCUCAUGGCCUUGUUCAUAAGACUAACCUAUUUUCUGUGGAUGCAGAUUCUAGUGUUAUUACUAAGCCAUUUAUCUUUAUGAGAUAUCCAUAUUUGCUUGAGUAAUGUUUUGUAGGUCAAAGUUAUCCAAAUCUGUAGGAAAGUUUUGUCACCAUCAAAAAAUGGGAGAUUGUUGGAGAAAACUUCCUCGAGUGUUUUGAAGCUAACAAAACGUUUCCAUCAGUCUAGUCUGAAGACUUGCAGACUCUUCCAUCAAAGUCUGAAAACCUCCGGACUGCCAGACUCAAGACUCAAAGUCUAUCCUCAUUGACAGUUUCUAGACCGUCGAAGAAGACUUAUCCAGAACUGGAUGUUUCGUCAAGGAUUUGACUUUAUCGACUGAAGUAGAUCUUCUAGCUGGAUAUAGUAUGACAGAAUCCUUUAUUCUGAUCAAGAUUGAUUUAGGAAUCGUGGAUUCGUUGAUUGGCGAAGUAUACUUGGAAGGUUUCACUUAUGGAAACCAAAAUCCUGAUUGUAUGAGCGAGCAGGAUUAAUGAGCUAUCGUCAUGUUCCUUAAAUAGCUCGAAGAACUUCCUAAUUGAUUCUGUCCAACGGGUAGAUUGGAAGAAUUCAUUUGGUAAGUGCCAACGGGUAUGAUGGCAUAAAGAAGUAUAUAAGGAAGACAUUUCAGUUGUUCAAGUGCGUACGCGAUAGAAUAAUUCCAAAGUCUGAAGCUCCUCGUUCUUAGUCAAUUAAACUGCUGAGCGAAAUCUUGUACGCAAAAUGGAGUCUAUAUCAUUGAGAGACCUUGAGGAAGUGUAGUAGAGUCUCUGCACUGUGGAAUCAAGGAAGAGCCUAACUGUAACAACUCUUUUGUUCAUAGUGAAAUCCAGCUAGUGGGCUGUCAGUGCGGAAGAGUGGACGUUGGCUUGGAUUAAGCCAAACCACUAUAAUCUCUAUGUUCAUAUUUUCUUCUCUAUACUCUUUUACUUUGAUCGUAAUUCGUUUUGAGAAUUUCCUUUUCAUAAUCUAUUGUUGAUUAGCACUGCACAUAUCUCGCAAAAUUGUUUCUACACCUAUUCACCCCCUCUAAAUGCUCAUACUAGCUCUCACACUGAGCUUCAGAGGAAGCGACACCCAACAUGGGUUCACCGAUGUUCUCUAUAGAAGCCUCGUCAAUCACGGGGUUCGCACCUUCUUAGACGAAGAAGAGCUUUCCAUGGAGAGUACAUCAAGAAGCAGCUCCCUGAGUCGAUCAAGCUGUCGAAGAUUGGCAUCCCGAUCCUGUCCAAGGACUAUGCCUCGAGUAUACCAUGCCUUCGUGAGCUGGCUCAGAUGGUCCAGUGGCGCAAAGAGGGAAGAAUGAUCAUCAUGCCCGUCUACUUCUUGAUCACGGCGUGGGAUGUGGAAAUGAAGGAUGGGAGGGGUCCCCACGCGUAUAAAAUUGCUGCACACCAGGAGAAAGGAGUUGAUCCGGACACGGUUCAGAAAUGGGUGGAUGCCCUCAAAGAAGUGACAUCUGUGAAAGGGCGGCAACUGACCGAAUAUACUAGGUAAGGUUGAAGAAGGAUCUGUAGCUAGUUUGGCCUUGUUUUCUUUUCUUUUCUCCCCUUUUUUUGUCCUGAAUAAUGUGGCACUCUCAUGCUCAAUUCAAUUGAUUUCACGGCAAAUUGCCCCCGUAUACGAAAGUCACCGUCUGUUAAGGGUUGCGAUGGGCAGGGCCAAUGGUCACUCUGAAUUGACUGGGGCACACUCUUGCAUUUGUACCGAGCGUUUACCCAUUCCGUCCCAUUCACGUUUCAUCAGUUUCAGAUCUUUAUCCCCAGUUAACAGAAGUCGGGAGGAAUUUCGAGGACUCCGUGCGGAACCGGGCAACAGCGGCCGAGGCGGCAGUUGUUAGAAAAUAGUAAAAUUGAUUUUGUGUUUUGAUUAGCUUAUUUGUCUUCUAAUUGUUUUGGCUAAGUGUGUUAAAGCAAGAGUUAGUCGGUUUGUAAAAAGCCAAAGAAAAGUGGGCUGCAGCGUCACUUCGUAAACCGCCAAAGGAGAGAAUUCUUGAAGAAGCCACAAGCGGAUUAGAAAAAAAAGAAUGGGCACAUAUUAAAAUAAUAUUAUACUUGUUGCUGGAGUCUUCAAGAGCAGGAAGAAAGCUUCAACUUCGUAAACUUGAACGUGAAGGAAAAGUUUCAGCCCAAAAUUGUUGACUCCUUAGCCAAGAAGAAAAGUUCAACUUCAACUCUUGCACGUCGAAGAUAAUAGCGGUGAAGAUGCUUAUAAAUAUAGGGUUAUGUUAGUUUAUUUAGUGUGUGAGAGAGUGAGAUAGCUUCACAAGCAUAUAGAAAGCUAGAGAGAGUUUUAAACUUAGCAAAGUUUGUGUGUGUACUCCAUUAAGCCUUUGAAGGCAUAUUGUGUAAUAUAUUCUCUCUUUGUGUGUUUAUAAUCUCUCCCUCCAAAUCCUUUUGGUUCCAACAGCGGUGCCAGUCACGCAGGCAGGUGAGACCCCGGAAAGAGCCGCCCACUCCGGUGGUAUGAAGUAGACGAUACUAGAGAAGGAGGCGCCGACACGAAAACCACUUUCAUUUUGAAAGUAGGAGAUGGCUAUUGACUUUCUUGGUCCCCUUCUUACUCGGGCCGAUGUGUAUUUGAGCUUCAAACGAUCAGACACCCGCAAGGUCUUUGUGGAUCAUCUCUGCAAUAGCCUCCAAAAAGAGGGAAUCCUCGUGGUCCUUGGGCGGUCAAUUCCCCCGUUUAUCGGGCAGGCCGAGAUCGCCAUUCCAAUCCUGUCAGAGAACUAUCCGUGGAGCAGACGGUGCCUCCGAGAGCUGGCUCAGAUUGUGGAGGCCCACGAGACGAUGGGCCAGAUCAUCAUGCCCGUCUUCCUCAACGUCACGCCCUCGGUCGUGAAAAACGUAUCCCACGGUUACCGCAAGGCUAUCAACAAGCAUAGACGGACAGGAGUCGACCCAGAAACCCUCCGGAAAUGGGAGAAAGCUCUCAUCCAUGUGGGAUCCAUCUCAGGGUUGGCGAGUAAUCGGUGAGUGUAAUUGAGUAAGUUUGAUUGAGUAACGUGGCAUCCAAAUCCCAAGGUGGCGCUUACUUCAAUUUAAGUUAAUCUGAUUAGACUAAUGCUAGGUGUCUCAAUACCUGAUGUAGCUCCCUCUGAUCCGGUACUGAAUGUGAUCCGUUUGUUUAUGUUCUUUCUCCCAGCUUGCCACAUUACCUAGUGCUUCGGUUUUGUCGAUAAAUUUCAAUAUUCGUCUCGUUACACAUCUAUUUAAAAGCACAUGACUCAGUUUUAGUAAAAGUAUGUACCACUAUUUGUGUGCCCUGUUUGUCUAAAGCUGAUUACUAUAUAAUAGUUUUUAAAAGGAGAGCGCGAACUUCUUCUUGCAAAUUACUUCAGAGUUCAAACAUUGAUAGACUUACAUUAAUCUUUAUGCAUGUGCCUUGUGCACACGUGCACGCAUGAUACAGCUUAGGCACACGUGCUUUGAUCAUUGAUGUAGUUGUCGCAAAUGUGAUGAGGAUGUUGAAGAGACUCUCCGUUGGCAUCGAGCGUCAUGAGGAAGCAGUUAUGAAAUUACUAAAUGUGGAAUCUAGUGAUGUUCGUGUAGUUGGAAUACAUGGCAUAGGGGGCACUGGGAAGACAACGAUUGCAAAGUUUGUCUACAAAAGAAUAUUUCAUCUCUUUGAUGGCUGUAGCUUUCUGGAAAGCUUUAGAGAAAAUGCCAAAAAACCAGGAAGCUUAGUUGAUUUGCAAGGUCAGCUGAUUUCUGACCUUCUAGGUGCAAUGCAUAGACAAAUUCCUUCUGUUGAUGAUGGGAUUAAGUCCAUCAGAAGCAGAUUCUUCCACAAGAAAAUUCUCAUUGUUUUCGAUGAUAUCGAACCAGGCUUUGAACUUACUCCAAUUUUAGGAAGUCUUGAUUGGUUAGGCUCUGGAAGCAGGAUCAUAAUUACCACCAGAGCCGAACAAGCUUUAGAUAAGCUUGAAGUGAUCCUGAAAUAUAAGGUUGGGGGAAUGCAACAACAUGAAGCCCUUAUGCUUUUCCACAUCCAUGCCUUCAGGGAGAAACCUACUCCGAAUGAGUUUGCUACUCUGUCCGAAAAAAUAGUAUCGACUAUUGACUGGCUUCCGUUGACUAUUGAGGUUGUCGGGUCAUAUCUAUUUUCUAAAGGCAAGGAUGUAUGGAUGCAAACCUUAGACGAGUUGGAAAAAGUACCUAAGCUACAAGUUGAACAGAAGUUGAUGGUAAUCAUCAAAGCAUUACCUGACAAGCAAAGACAGAUGUUUCUGGACAUUGCUUGUUUCUUCAUUGGAGAGGACAAAAGCAUUGCUUGCUACCUGUGGUCCGACUGUGAUUCUGCUAGUGGAUUGGAAUUACAAGUGCUCGUUCUCUCCUCUAUUGUUAAGAUUGAGAACAAUAAGCUGUGGAUGCAUGAUCAACUUCAAGACCUAGCUAGGGAUAUCGUCCAAGGGGAACAUCGUGAACCUGGAAAUCGUAGCAGAUUGUGGUUACAAAAUGAAGCCUUGGAUGUGCUGACAAAUGAAAAAGUAAGAUACAAGUUCAUCACUUUUUUUACCUUACGAUUGUGUGCCUUACAAUUUAGUGAUCCGUUUUUCAUAGAGGAAAGACCAUUAAGGUGCGUUUGUUUCUUGGAAAAUGAAUGAUUUGGAAAACAUUUUCUUAAAAAUGUUCGUUUAUAUUUCUUGAAAUAAUUAGUCUUUGAUAAUUUUUCAUUAUUGAUAACAAUUUAUGUAUGCACAUUUUCAUGGACGAUGAAAAUAUUUUUUGUUCAUUUGUUUUUGUAAUAGAUACAACUGAUCAUUUUCAGCGAAAUGUUUUCCAAAUCAUUCAUUUUCUAUAAAAUAAAUGGACUUUUAAUAAAAAUGAUUUCUUUAGUUUGAAGUCUCUAAGCAUUUAUUAUCUUCACAUAUUUUUGUGGGGAAAUGCGAAGUCCCUUGGUAAUCCUAUAUUCCACAUGUAGGGAACGGAUAGUGUUCAAGGUGUUCUUCUCAAAUUUGACAGUAGGUCACAGUGCAGUUUUAAACCAGCACAUUUUGCGAGUAUGUCGAACAUAAGAUUCCUUAGAUUGGAUCAGGCGAACCUUGAAGGAAAGUUUGAGCGGCGUCUUUCAAGUUUAAGAUGGCUCCACUGGCAAGGUUGUCCUCGUAAUCUUUGUGCUGGAAAUUUGGAUUUGAAGAAAUUGGUUAUUCUAGAUCUUUCCUGGAGCAAGGUCAACGAAAAAUGGAAUGGUUGGAGAGAAAUCAAGGUAGGGAAGUUUAUUAUUUUUAAUCUCAUUUGUCAAAUUGUAGCAGAAAAGUUGACUCUUUUGUUAUUCUACUUUCUGACAGAAAGCCGAGAAAUUGAAAGUUCUGAACCUCACCGGUUGCGUUGACUUGAUCAAAACUCCAGACUUGUCUUAUUACAAAUGUUUAGAGAGAUUGAUUCUUGAAAGGUGCAUUCGAUUGGUUGAAAUUGGUUCAUCGGUAAAAAGUCUGGAGAGGUUGGUUUCACUGAACUUGAGGUCUUGUACUGAACUCAAUAAGUUGCCUGAAGAGUUGGGUUCCCUCAUAUCCUUGGAAGAGAUUCUUAUAGAUGAAACUGCUGUUCAAAAAAUUCCUACCUCCAUCGGUCAUUUGCAAAAGCUUAGAAUAUUCAGUGCCUGCAACUGUCUUUCAUUGAUCCAGCUGCCCGAUUCAAUUAGUCAUGUGAAAUCUCUGAGAGUCUUCGUACUAAAUGGUACCAAAAUAACUGAACUUCCCCUGUCUGAAGAGUUAGAAGUGCUACAGCACUUGUCAAUAAAUCAUUGUAGGUCCAUGUUGAAGUUACAAACGUCCUUGGGGAGUUUGGCUUCAUUGAUCAAACUUGAUUUAUCAAGUACUGGAAUUGUCGAAUUACCUAAUACAGUCAAUAAGUUAAAUCUUUUAGAAGUGCUCAAAAUUGAUUUUACUUUUGUACGAGAGCUGCCUAGUGCUAUAUGGAAGUUGAAGAGGCUUGAAGAGCUACAUGCUUCAAGAUGUCGGAGUUUGGCUGGGGAAAUUCCUAGAGAUAUUGAGCAGCUUUCGAGAUUGAAGGUCUUGAGGCUUGGAUACUCUCGGAUUCGUAGCCUACCAGAUAGCAUUUCUAGACUUCCCAAUCUGCAAACACUUGAUCUGCUUCAUUGUGACAAGCUCCAUAGAGUGCCCAAGCUUCCUUCCACUUUAAUAAGCCUAUCUGUCAGUUCUAAAUUGAUGGAUACAAUCCCAGACAUCAGUAGGCUAGUUAAGUUGGCAGAGUUAUUCUUGGCUGAUGGAUCCCAAGAAUUGGUAUUAUCAAGUUGAGACCAAAGGACACACUUAUUUGGAGCUCGGGAGUUUGCCAGAGCUAAAGAUAUUGCAGCUAUCUCUGUUAAAGAUCCAACUACUACCUGUUGGGUUGCAUCUCCUUUUUAAGCUCACAAAGCUCUCCCUUUGCUGCAUUUGCUUGAAAAAGCUACCACGGCUUCCUUCAGGUUUAUUCACUCUCUCACUUUGCCAGUACAAAUCACGGACAGGAUUGCCAGAUCUUUCGUAUUUGGAGCUCCUGUCAGAAUUCGAGCUUUCCGACUGUGCUGUAACAGAAGUUGCAGGCCUUGGGCAGUUCAAAUCCUUGCGAAUUUUUAGAAUAUCACACUGCAACUUGCAACAGCUAGAUGAGCUGGAGAACUUGAUAUUUUUAGCAUCAUUGAAUGUUUCGUACUGUCAAGGUCUUGAGAGACUUCCCGAUCUAUCAAAACUGAAGAAGCUGAAAGAUAUUAAAAUCAACAACUGUCCGAAGAUUCGUGAUAUUAAAAGUGUGGAACACCUGCAUUCCUUUGAGAAGCCAACUAGUGCCAUAAUUGAGACGGAAAGCUCAUCCGAGGUAACCGACACUAUGAUUUUCCCUCUGGACCACAUAUAUGGAGGUUGGCACUUGAUUAGCACAUUGCAUGUUUGGAAUUUUUACUAAGAUGAAUGAAUUUCUUAAUAAUGAAAAAAGUGCAUGACAUGAUGAAUUACGAGGGACGGGAUAUUUUCUCCCAUUAACACAUGCAGAAGAAUUUUUCAAAUGAAAUUUGAGUCAUCAAGACUUUGUAUUUCUUUCAUCUUUUUUACUUGAAAGAUGGGUCCAAAUUUGUUAAGGACUCCACUUCUUUGAAAGAGCAUUUUACUUUUUCUUGUAUUUUUCUGCGAUAUACAACCAAAGAACUUCUAUUAAUGCCAAUUAGUUUAAUCAAGCUUUUGGGAGGUGUUGUUAUGUAUUCAAUCCAUAGCAUUGAACGUUGUAUUGGAAUCUUAAAUCUUUGAUGUGUUGCAGAAAAGCUCUGGCUUCUGUACUAGUAUCUUAAAUUUUUUAUGGGGUGCUUCCGUAAUAUUCAAGAUCUUAAUCCAAAGUACUUUUAAUAAAUUGGGAUGAGUAGCUCAUAGAAGGUAUUCCAUUCUUCAAACUUUUUCUCUUUUAAUUCAGACUUGUUUGAUGAGCUACUCCUCCAAGGAUAUAGUCUGAUCAAUACCGUCAAUGAAAUCUCAAAAUUCAUUUGGUCUCUUUUCACGUUCAGUCAGUUUGAAUCUAAGCAUCAAUCUUUAUAACCGUUUGACACAUGGUAGAAGUCUUAUUCGAUGCACUGAAUACAUGCUUACACAGGUUUUAUCACAGGUGGAGUUUAGCAAACCAGCUAAUACCAAACAUUCUUCCAUUCAGGGUGUCAAAUGCAAGGAUAAAAGUAUGUUGUACAUUGAGAUUGUCAAAUUUGAGUUGUCCUAUAAGAUUUAACUAUGAUUUCAACCUUGCAAUGUAGAACACUGAAAGAGGUCAUGGCUAGAAAGCUGCCAGCCCAUAAGGAUAGGCAGUCAAAGGAUUAUUUCAAGCUAUGACAUGUUGUUGGAACUGAUUAGACCUUAGACUAAUUUUUUGGGCUAAAAGGAAAAUUUUACUCCUUAUUUAAUGCUCCUUUUCCUCCUAAAGCACAAGCAAAAUCUUCCGAUUCUGUCAAGUCAAUAACUGAAACUAUGGGCGCUUCUUCUAACUUGCGAAAUUCUCCCUCUGUUGCAGGUUCAUCAACCACGUGGCAUAGAGUGAAGGUAAACUACAGAUGUCUUGCUUCCUAUCUCACUCCAUCAAUGAAUAACUCUGUAUUUCUUUCAGGCCAUUGCUUCCAAAUUCAACUGUCAGAUGAUUUCCAGAACCAAGCCAACACACUCUUUUCCACAUUAAUCAAACUUAAGUGUUGAGCCAGAUAAGAGGGACAAAAACUACUGGCAUCUCGCCAUCAACAGAGCAAGAAGAUGUGCCACUUGACAGGGCAUCGACUAUCCCUUCUUUGGCAACAAUUGGUUCUGCUGUGCCUCCUCCUGCUGCUCAACCAUAGUCAUCAUCAGCAAUGGACAAAGAUAAAGCCCCUAUAAUUGUCGAGGCAGAUUUACGUGGUGGCGGAGAGGAAUCUCUUUCCUCAGAGAUCGAGUCUCUGUUGAGUGAUGACUCAGGAGAGCAAAAUACUGGGACAGAGAUGUCACAAGCAAGUCAUUUUGAUCUUCAAGCAUACCAGAAUGCAUCGCAAGAGUUGGAAAUUAUAAUGAGUCAGGGACUCCAGGCAAUCGUGUUUAAUCCCAAGCUACUUGGUCAAUUGCAAGAAUUACUGAACUUCUUAGUCGAACAAAAUGCACCAGAGGUCUCUACUAUUGGACAUCAAUGUGUCUAUCUCAAAUUGAAGAACUUUAUUCAGACUCAGGUGACUCCCUCUCUUCCCAAUAAAAGAUCCUCAUUGAAUAUGAGAGGUUAGAAGGGGAGCUCAAAAUGGAAAUGUAUCUUUUGGCGUCUGACAAGGAUGAAGUUCGUUUGAUCAUGAAACAAUGUGAAGAGAAAGCUAAGACCGUGGCUGACAAUGAGCGAGUUAUAACCCAACUUCAAGCAGAGAUUGAGGCACGCAAGCAGACAGUUGAGAAUGCAAAGUCAGAAAUAUCAUAUCUGUCGACAAUGAGAUUGGAGAAAGUUAAGGAACUGAAGAAUUAAGUACGAGCAGGUCCUCAGUAUGAAGAGAGAGAAUCCAAGCAGGGAAAAGAAGAGAAAUCAAGCUUUGGAAAUGAUUGACAAAAUCAAUGUAGAGUGGAAUGAAUUGUGUGCGGAUAGUAAAGGCCGAUUAGCCUCUAAAUAGGCUGGCACUUUUCACUUUCUUUUAUUUGAAUCUUCAUGUAUCGAAAACUUUUCCAUUCUGGCA
rnacentral:lncRNA from 1 species